AUUGAACGCUGGCGGCAGGCCUAACACAUGCAAGUCGAGCGGAUGAAGAGAGCUUGCUCUCUGAUUUAGCGGCGGACGGGUGAGUAAUGCCUAGGAAUCUGCCUGGUAGUGGGGGAUAACGUCCGGAAACGGGCGCUAAUACCGCAUACGUCCUACGGGAGAAAGCAGGGGACCUUCGGGCCUUGCGCUAUCAGAUGAGCCUAGGUCGGAUUAGCUAGUUGGUGAGGUAAUGGCUCACCAAGGCUACGAUCCGUAACUGGUCUGAGAGGAUGAUCAGUCACACUGGAACUGAGACACGGUCCAGACUCCUACGGGAGGCAGCAGUGGGGAAUAUUGGACAAUGGGCGAAAGCCUGAUCCAACCAUGCCGCGUGUGUGAAGAAGGUCUUCGGAUUGUAAAGCACUUUAAGUUGGGAGGAAGGGCAAUAAGUUAAUACCUUGCUGUUUUGACGUUACCGACAGAAUAAGCACCGGCUAACUUCAUGCCAGCAGCCGCCGUAAAAC
rnacentral:rRNA from 1 species